AUGGCGUCCCGAUCCACUUCCGGCGGCUCUCGGAGGGGCCUCAUCUCGUGCCUGCACAGCAGCUGCAGCAGCGCCGGCGAUGCGCCCCAACAAGACUCGCAGCAGGCCGUCCACAGCCUCAUCGCCGGCUUCUACGAGGAGGCGUUCGACCGGCUGCCCUGCGCGACCAUGCCGGGCCUCGCCCGCUCCCUCGCCACCGCCGGCUUCUGCAGCAGCCCCUCUGAUGCCCAAGUGACCCACGGCCAUGGAGUCGUCGUCGUCCGUGUUCGUCGGGAGGUCGGCGAUGACGUUGUCGAGACGACUUCUGUCGACGUCUCCGACGACGGCCACAAGACCACCACCACCACCACGUUCCGGCGAGCCGGCGAGCGCAUCACGUCGCUGCGGCAAGCGGGGGACAUGGCUGCCAAGAUGUCAGCCUGCCUGACAAAGGCAGAGGCGGACGCCCAAAAAUACGGCCUGGACACGAGGAGCCCGUGCGCGCGCGGCGACGCCUGCGAGUACGUGCAGUCCCUAAAGAUGCGCCUCCACGACGCCAUACACGCCUCCUACCUCAAGGCGCUCGCCCUUCUCGUGCCCUGCACUAGCGCUGGCACCACCGGAGGAGGCUCGCUCAUGCGCAGCAUCCUCGUCGCCGGCCACUGCUACGGCUCCAUGGACCCUGUCUCCAACAUCAUUGUCCGCUCACUCAAAAGCCUUACAGAGCUCAUCCAUGCCGCUGCCGACGCCGCGUCGCCUGGCCCCGGAUUCUCGACGGCGUGGGCUCUAGAGACCCUCUGCCGUACACAAUGCGACCUCUUUGACAUGUUAUCAUCAUCAAGAAAUCUUGCGAAGAGCCAUUUCCAGGAAGCGGCCAUGGCCGCCGGACACCCUCUGCCUGCCGACCUAGCAUUGCUCCACCAGCAACUCCUGCUGAGGCCUCGUGUUCUGGGCGAGCUGCGUGCCCUGACGAGCAAGACGAGCUCCAUCAUGUCCAUUGAUCACAUAGCCUCCAUCCUCGACAAGGCGCUCAGAUCCAGCACUCCAAGACUAGUAGUGCAGGUGGAUCUUGAGGCUCCUGAAAUGCACGCCAAGGCUCUGAGCGCGGUGUCGAGGAAGAGAUCAAAGUAUGAUGACCGGAGGAGCUUCCUUCGCUCUAGGCUUGAGAAACUGCUGGAGAACUAUGCCUCGCAGCAUUUCUGGGAGCUUGCACCUCUGAAGCUUCGGUCUCACGGGAUCAGCCUUGGAGGGAUGCGCUAUGAUGAGCGGUACACACCUUAUUUGGACGAUGCCAGUUGUAGGCACACUGGAGGUAUUGGUGGUUGUCUGCUCGCACUUUCCAUAUGGAGCUGGGAGCGUCUGCCGGUUGGACGACCUAAGACCGUGAAGUACGAGGAUUGGGACGAUAAAGACGACCCACUACGGCUCCCCACUUGGGCUUACAAGUGGGAUGUGUUAAAUGAGACGACGGAUGAUCCCUCGGUAAUGUACAAGUUGUACAAGAGCGAGCUGGACGCGAUCACGCCUGAGCAGGUGGAAUGGGAGCCGUAUGGAAAAGGAGAGAGUUUUGGUAACCCUGUAGAGUUCAGGCUUAAUCCGAUGUGCAUUAGGGAUAGGGAUCUCUGGCAUAUGUGGUGCCCACUGAUAUGCAACUGGGUGGUUGAGCUUCACCUGCCACAUCGGGUUUUCCGCCAGUUUGGUUUGUUCCAGCCACACCCGCCGGAGUGGGAGGACACGGACAAGUUGCUACACGCGUUGGAUAGGAAAAAGCAACGGAAGAUCAAGGAUUGGGCCAGCCAUCACAAGAAGUAUGUCGUGCAGUUCGCUCUUAGUGUGGAGCAAACAAGGGCUGGAAAACGAGCCCAGCUUCGUGAGCACUGCCCGAUCGCGUUCAACAACUAUCUCGCAUGGUUUCUUGCAAAUACCCGCGUGGAGGUAUGCCAGCCGGCGUAUGCUGAGGAGAUUCUGGAAGAACCCACCGUUUUUGAUGAGAUCAAGAAAGCAGCUGACGAAACCGAGACUAUUCUGGAAACAACCCCGGCUGGCAAAAGAGAUGGGGAAGGUGCACUUCGAGAAUUCAUUAAGCGCCAGGGCCAAAAGUUAAGGCGGCUAUCAAACCUUUUCGGUUGUCGUGACCCCGAGUAUGUAUCACCAGAACGGUCUAGGUCGGCGACACCAUCAGAUCCCGCUUCGGGGCAGAGCCAUGGUGAACCUUUCGAGGAUGAGGAUGUGGGUGGGGUCACCCAAGAGGUUGCUGAUGAUAUGACCUUGGGGACGUACCGGGCUCGGUCUGCAUACGAGUUGAAGCCUAGGAGGGGAAUCAACAAGUACACACCUGAAGACUUCACCCAAAGAGGCAAAAGGACGGCGGCACCUCGCGGAUGGCGGCUUUGGAUGACUAUUUGGAUGACGAUGUCGAACCGGAGGCGGAGCCGGAGCCGGAGCGGGUUCCUCUUCCUAGGAAGGUGA
rnacentral:rRNA from 1 species